rnacentral:rRNA from 1 species
UACGUAGGGUGCGAGCGUUAAUCGGAAUUACUGGGCGUAAAGCGCACGUAGGCGGCUUUGUAAGUUAGAGGUGAAAGCCCGGGGCUCAACUCCGGAACUGCCUUUAAGACUGCAUCGCUUGAAUCCAGGAGAGGUGAGUGGAAUUCCGAGUGUAGAGGUGAAAUUCGUAGAUAUUCGGAAGAACACCAGUGGCGAAGGCGGCUCACUGGACUGGUAUUGACGCUGAGGUGCGAAAGCGUGGGGAGCAAACAGG